rnacentral:tRNA from 1 species
UACUAACUAGUUUAAUAACACCAAAUUGCAAAUUUGAAAAUAUUCUUACUAA